ACAGCGUUACAAGGACAAGGCUCACAAGCUACAGACCAGGCAGAUGCUAUAAUUAGGGUUGCCCAAAGACAUGUUCCCGAGUUCUCAGAGCUUCUUCAGAACAGCCCUCUUCAAAAAAGCCGAGACUCCUCGCCGGCUUAUAAAGACAUCCAAGAAGCUACACAUCUAGAUCCCGAGGAGGCGCCAAAGACCCCAGUCACCAGAACAGCGAAGCCUGAUGAUUUCAAAGUUUUAAAUGACAUUUCUGAGGUAGACGAUUUGAUGUUCUGUGAAGUGGCCAACCUUAUUGAAGCGGCCAAUUCUGGUGGGGCAACAGCCUCUUGUGAAAUAGACCAAGCCGUGCUUUUCAAGGCUUUUACACAGGGUUUAAAAUCACGAAAGGCUUUACUUCAACGUCGUAUGGGUAUUCUAUUCGAACAUCAAUACAAUCAGGAUGUGUCAUUCUGGCGUAGAGAGCUUCCCCGCAUGUUAAACAACAGUAGGGUUAAAACAAGCAAAUACCUCCGUUAAAAAACACAUAUGUAAAAAAAACACAAGCACACACAUCCUUAAGUAGAGAAAUGGCGCCCCCUAUAGACCUAAGCGAGACAAUUGAAACCCUCUUAGCGGAAAUCCCUACAGAGCUCCAAGAUAUAAUUAACCAUAUGAAUGAUUCUGGGCUAAUUGACAUAGGGGCUAUAGAUGAAAACCUAUUAUCCCAGAUUCCCUCCGAACUCAUUGAAAUUAUUACACGUAUGAAUGAGUCAGGGUCUGCAGAUGAAAACAGGUUAUCACAGAUACCCGAAUCAAUCAUAUCUUUAAUUACCCAGAUGAACGAGAGCCCAAGGUUUAAUUCUGCACCCCCUACACCUCUAAGCCAUCCUUUAACACCCUUGUUCGAAGAGGAAACCCAAUACGAUGUUUUUGAACAGCUGAACAAAUGUCUAUCAAAUCUGGAGCGGGAAGGUCUUGAUCACAAUGUACUGAACGAAAGCCCUAGGUUUAAUUCUGCACCACCUACACCUCUAAGCCAGCCUUUAACACCCAUGUCUGAAGAGUCUGAAACCCAAUACGAUGUUUUUGAACAGUUGGACAAUUGUCUAGCAAAUCAGGAUGGGGAUGGUCUUGAUCGAAGUGAACAUGUUUUGUAUCGAAAUAAAUUCCACAAUAUUGAGGUUCGACAGUUUUUCAAUUUCGCAUGGGGGGGUCAGAUUCGGGAAUAUGCUGUGUUUUACGUAAUGCUUAUGGACACUUUGAAUGAACUGGUAGAUAGAGUUAGAGCUUAUAGCCAACCAAGGGAUACCUUACAGUUGGAAAUUUUUGGAGACAGUCUGCAGAGCCGUGUGUCGCUUAUUUUAAAUAGGGGUGAAGCAGAUCUUGAACAAUUUGUUAACCUGCUAGAACGCCUUGUUCAGUCAAAUUUAAACGUGCUA